rnacentral:rRNA from 1 species
UGGGGAAUAUUGCACAAUGGGCGAAAGCCUGAUGCAGCGACGCCGCGUGGGGGAUGAAGGCCUUCGGGUUGUAAACCCCUUUCAGCAGGGAAGAAGCGAAAGUGACGGUACCUGCAGAAGAAGCGCCGGCUAACUACGUGCCAGCAGCCGCGGUAAUACGUAGGGCGCAAGCGUUGUCCGGAUUUAUUGGGCGUAAAGAGCUCGUAGGCGGUUUGUCGCGUCUGCUGUGAAAACCCGAGGCUCAACCUCGGGCCUGCAGUGGGUACGGGCAGACUAGAGUGCGGUAGGGGAGACUGGAAUUCCUGGUGUAGCGGUGGAAUGCGCAGAUAUCAGGAGGAACACCGAUGGCGAAGGCAGGUCUCUGGGCCGCAACUGACGCUGAGGAGCGAAAGCAUGGGGAGCGAACA